rnacentral:rRNA from 1 species
GACGAACGCUGGCGGCGUGCUUAACACAUGCAAGUCGAACGGUGAAGCGCCUUCCUUUUUGGUGGGUGUGGAUGAGUGGCGAACGGGUGAGUAACACGUGAGUAACCUGCCCCCUUCUUCUGGAUAACCGCAUGAAAGUGUGGCUAAUACGGGAUAUUCUGGGUCUGUCGCAUGAUGGGUCUGGGAAAGAUAUUGUUUCGGUGGGGGAUGGGCUCGCGGCCUAUCAGCUUGUUGGUGGGGUGAUGGCCUACCAAGGCGGUGACGGGUAGCCGGCCUGAGAGGGUGGACGGACACCCGGGGAGGGGGACACGGCACAGCCGCCAAGGGGGGGGGGCAGGGGGUAUAAGGGAACAAGGGGGGGAGGCCGUUGGCGGGGGCGCGGGGGGGGGAGUGGGGCCUUUGGGGUGGGGAACCUUUUUGGCAGGGGAGGCAGGCCGGCUUCGUUUGGGGGUGGGUGACCGGAAGGGGGAAAAAAGGCCCGGCCAAAUUAGGG